GGGGAAGCUCCGGGCAGGCGGAAAGGAGGAUUCACAAGGGCUGGAUGGGAGCCACGGCCCCGGCGCAGGGGCUGCGCCUCAAGCAGGACAAAGAGCGAGGCUCUGGCCGGCCCCGAGUUGUGCUGACGGCCGCAGAAUCCUCUGGCACGGGGAGAUGGAGCAGCAUUCCCAAAGCUCACGUGUGGAGGAGGUAGAGGGGAUGGACACUUUCCGCAGCCGUGAAAAUUUCAUACUUCAUCUUCGCCCGGCCGCGGCCACAAGAGUUUCACGAGCGGGGGACAAUAGGUUCUGUUUAUUCAGCCACAAUAAAGAGCCUGUUUCACUCUGGACUGCAAGUGGCUGAGCCAUCUGGCCCAUAUCUCCACAGUAAAACAUUGUCCGUGGCACAAAAAAUGAUUGCAUCCCCAGGACAAACUGAUGUGACCUCGGAAUAAAGGCUUCCUCUGAAGCUAUGAUAUCAUACUGCAGAGGGGACACCGGCACAAUGGAAUCUGCUCCCCCAGAGCACAAGUGAGAUAGGACUAUUUAAAUCCAAUUUUACAGGAGACUUUUUGUCCUCGGUGGCAAAGCACCCAGAUCCGACGACAGCAUUGAAACAUCUUUUUCUAUGCACUCUUAAGGCAACAGAGCGGUUCUGUCUGGCCUUGGCAGCCUCUGCAGCUCGCUCCGGGCCCAGGAAGCGUCGUCCAGCACCUGCAAGCUUCUCUUCCAACAACAUUUUACUGACGGGGCGGCACCUGCAGCGGGGCCCGGCACAAACAAGCGCCUCUUUCUGCUCCGUGCCAGGCGGAAAAGCUGAGCUGAGCUGGGCUGGGCACGCGGCCCCGGCACGGCUCUACCUGCCCCGGAAUUCCUGCAGCCCCCAGGGAGGAGAUCCAUGGGGAGAAAUGCUCCUGGAAGGGCCGGGGGAUGGCGGGGAAGGGGCUGAUCCUUGCCGGGAUGAUGCUGUGGGAAUGCACUGCCCGCAAUUCUGCGGCCCUGGAAGGGGAUCCUGGAGCUCCCACAUCCCCUCAGUCUGGGGCAGGAGACCCUGCUGCUUGACAAGGCGAAGUUUGGUCAAAGGCUGCACUCGAUGA
rnacentral:lncRNA from 1 species